GACGAACGCUGGCGGCGUGCCUAAUACAUGCAAGUUGAGCGCUGAAGGUUGGUACUUGUACCAACUGGAUGAGCAGCGAACGGGUGAGUAACGCGUGGGGAAUCUGCCUUUGAGCGGGGGACAACAUUUGGAAACGAAUGCUAAUACCGCAUAAAAACUUUAAACACAAGUUUUAAGUUUGAAAGAUGCAAUUGCAUCACUCAAAGAUGAUCCCGCGUUGUAUUAGCUAGUUGGUGAGGUAAAGGCUUACCAAGGCGAUGAUACAUAGCCGACCUGAGAGGGUGAUCGGCCACAUUGGGACUGAGACACGGCCCAAACUCCUACGGGAGGCAGCAGUAGGGAAUCUUCGGCAAUGGACGAAAGUCUGACCGAGCAACGCCGCGUGAGUGAAGAAGGGUGUCGGAUCGUAAAACUCUGUUGGUAGAGAAGAACGUUGGUGAGAGUGGAAAGCUCAUCAAGUGACGGUAACUACCCAGAAAGGGACGGCUAACUACGUG
rnacentral:rRNA from 1 species